GAUGAACGCUGGCGGCGUGCCUAAUACAUGCAAGUCGAGCGAACGGACGAGAAGCUUGCUUCUCUGAUGUUAGCGGCGGACGGGUGAGUAACACGUGGAUAACCUACCUAUAAGACUGGGAUAACUUCGGGAAACCGGAGCUAAUACCGGAUAAUAUUUUGAACCGCAUGGUUCAAAAGUGAAAGACGGUCUUGCUGUCACUUAUAGAUGGAUCCGCGCUGCAUUAGCUAGUUGGUAAGGUAACGGCUUACCAAGGCAACGAUGCAUAGCCGACCUGAGAGGGUGAUCGGCCACACUGGAACUGAGACACGGUCCAGACUCCUACGGGAGGCAGCAGUAGGGAAUCUUCCGCAAUGGGCGAAAGCCUGACGGAGCAACGCCGCGUGAGUGAUGAAGGUCUUCGGAUCGUAAAACUCUGUUAUUAGGGAGGAACAUAUGUGUAAGUAACUGUGCACAUCUUGACGGUACCUAAUCAGAAAGCCACGGCUAACUACGUGCCAGCAGCCGCGGUAAUACGUAGGUGGCAAGCGUUAUCCGGAAUUAUUGGGCGUAAAGCGCGCGUAGGCGGUUUUUUAAGUCUGAUGUGAAAGCCCACGGCUCAACCGUGGAGGGUCAUUGGAAACUGGAAAACUUGAGUGCAGAAGAGGAAAGUGGAAUUCCAUGUGUAGCGGUGAAAUGCGCAGAGAUAUGGAGGAACACCAGUGGCGAAGGCGACUUUCUGGUCUGUAACUGACGCUGAUGUGCGAAAGCGUGGGGAUCAAACAGGAUUAGAUACCCUGGUAGUCCACGCCGUAAACGAUGAGUGCUAAGUGUUAGGGGGUUUCCGCCCCUUAGUGCUGCAGCUAACGCAUUAAGCACUCCGCCUGGGGAGUACGACCGCAAGGUUGAAACUCAAAGGAAUUGACGGGGACCCGCACAAGCGGUGGAGCAUGUGGUUUAAUUCGAAGCAACGCGAAGAACCUUACCAAAUCUUGACAUCCUUUGACAACUCUAGAGAUAGAGCUUUCCCCUUCGGGGGACAAAUUGACAGGUGGUGCAUGGUUGUCGUCAGCUCGUGUCGUGAGAUGUUGGGUUAAGUCCCGCAACGAGCGCAACCCUUAAGCUUAGUUGCCAUCAUUAAGUUGGGCACUCUAAGUUGACUGCCGGUGACAAACCGGAGGAAGGUGGGGAUGACGUCAAAUCAUCAUGCCCCUUAUGAUUUGGGCUACACACGUGCUACAAUGGACAAUACAAAGGGCAGCGAAACCGUGAGGUCAAGCAAAUCCCAUAAAGUUGUUCUCAGUUCGGAUUGUAGUCUGCAACUCGACUACAUGAAGCUGGAAUCGCUAGUAAUCGUAGAUCAGCAUGCUACGGUGAAUACGUUCCCGGGUCU
rnacentral:rRNA from 1 species